rnacentral:rRNA from 1 species
UACGUAGGGGGCAAGCGUUGUCCGGAAUCAUUGGGCGUAAAGCGCGCGUAGGCGGCCCGGUAAGUCCGUUGUGAAAGUCAAAGGCUCAACCUUUGAAUGCCGCUGGAUACUGCCUGACUUGAGUCCGGAAGGGGCGAGUGGAAUUCCUGGUGUAGCGGUGAAAUGCGCAGAUAUCAGGAGGAACACCAAUGGCGAAGGCAGCUCGCUGGAACGGUACUGACGCUGAGGCGCGAAAGCGUGGGGAGCGAACAGG